rnacentral:lncRNA from 1 species
AUGACUAUAAUAAGGAAAACAAAUCCACUAAUAAAAAUUAUUAAUUACUCACUCAUCGAUCUCCCCACUCCAUCUAAUAUCUCUAUAUGAUGAAACCUCUGCUCACUUCUUGGCACCUGCUUAUUCCUUCAAAUCAUCACAGGGCUAUUCCUAGCCAUACACUACACACCAGACACCACAACUGCCUUCUCUUCAAUGGCCCAUAUUAAUCGAGAUGUGAACUAUGGCUGAAUUAUCCACUAUCUCCACACUAAUGACGCUUCAACAUUCUUCAUCUGUCUCUUCCUACACUUUAGCCGAGGCUUAUAUUAUGGCUCAUUCAUAUACUUAGAAAACUGAAACAUUGACAUUAUUGUCCUGCUCACAACCAUAGCAACAGCAUUUAUAGGCUAUGUACUUCCAUGAGGCCAAAUAUCAUUCUGAGGCGCUACAGUGAUUACAAAUCUACUAUCAGCCAUCCCAUGGACAAGAUCGGGGCUGACCUUUUUCAAUGAAUCUGACGCGGAUUUUCAGUUGACAAAGCCACUCUCACACGAUUCUUCACCAUUCAUUUCAUCUCACCUUUUAUCAUUGUAGCCCUAGCAACGCUUCACCUACUAUUCCUCCAUGAAGCAGGGUCUAAUAACCCCUCAGGAAUUUCACCACACUUCGAUAAAAUUACCUUCCACCCUUACUAUACAAUCAAAGAUAUCCUAGGUGUAAUCUUCCUCUUCCUUCUUUUAACAAUGCUAGUACUAUUUUCACCUGAUUUCUUGAGUGACCCAGAUAAUUACACCUUAGCCAACCCCCUAAACACCCCACCCCAAAUUAAAUCAGAGUAAUACUUUUUAUUUGCAUAUGGAAUCUUACUAUCUAUCCCCAAUAAACUAGGAGGUGUAUUAGCCUUUCUAUUAUCUAUUCUUAUUCUGGCAGUCAUUCCUGCACUUCACACAUCCAAACAACAAAGCAUAAUAUUCCACCCACUAAGUCAAUAUAUGUUCUGAUUCUUAGUCACCAACCUAUUGGCCCUCACAUGAAUUGGAGGACAGCCAGUUGGCCUUCAUUAUCACUGGACAGAUAGCAUCCAUAAUAUACUUCUCUAUUAUUCUUGCCCUAAUACCACUCAUUUCCCUAAUCGAAAAUAAACUACUUAAA